rnacentral:sRNA from 1 species
GAAUGUGAGGAUGAGCUGGCCAUGACAUCUGUCCACCCAUUCAUUGUUCAUCAGGGUUGAUUUGGUUGAUCUGGUUGACUAGGCAAGUGUCCCCUUCCUCCCUCACUACUCCAUGUGUGACCUUCCUGUAGCAUGCUCAGUUGAAGAGCAAGACCUUUCCAGAUAGAGGAAGACCAUUCUUCAGUCAAGAGUAUAGGAGUAGCCACACUUCUCUGCUAGAACCUCCAAAGAUGUGAACAGCACACGGAAUGGCGUCUUUAUUGUUGACUUCGGUGCUCCCCCUGCUGUC